UGCAAGUCGAGCGAACAGAUAAGGAGCUUGCUCCUUUGACGUUAGCGGCGGACGGGUGAGUAACACGUGGGUAACCUACCUAUAAGACUGGGAUAACUUCGGGAAACCGGAGCUAAUACCGGAUAACAUUUGGAACCGCAUGGUUCUAAAGUGAAAGAUGGUUUUGCUAUCACUUAUAGAUGGACCCGCGCCGUAUUAGCUAGUUGGUAAGGUAACGGCUUACCAAGGCGACGAUACGUAGCCGACCUGAGAGGGUGAUCGGCCACACUGGAACUGAGACACGGUCCAGACUCCUACGGGAGGCAGCAGUAGGGAAUCUUCCGCAAUGGGCGAAAGCCUGACGGAGCAACGCCGCGUGAGUGAUGAAGGGUUUCGGCUCGUAAAACUCUGUUAUUAGGGAAGAACAAAUGUGUAAGUAACUGUGCACGUCUUGACGGUACCUAAUCAGAAAGCCACGGCUAACUACGUGCCAGCAGCCGCGGUAAUACGUAGGUGGCAAGCGUUAUCCGGAAUUAUUGGGCGUAAAGCGCGCGUAGGCGGUUUCUUAAGUCUGAUGUGAAAGCCCACGGCUCAACCGUGGAGGGUCAUUGGAAACUGGGAAACUUGAGUGCAGAAGAGGAAAGUGGAAUUCCAUGUGUAGCGGUGAAAUGCGCAGAGAUAUGGAGGAACACCAGUGGCGAAGGCGACUUUCUGGUCUGUAACUGACGCUGAUGUGCGAAAGCGUGGGGAUCAAACAGGAUUAGAUACCCUGGUAGUCCACGCCGUAAACGAUGAGUGCUAAGUGUUAGGGGGUUUCCGCCCCUUAGUGCUGCAGCUAACGCAUUAAGCACUCCGCCUGGGGAGUACGACCGCAAGGUUGAAACUCAAAGGAAUUGACGGGGACCCGCACAAGCGGUGGAGCAUGUGGUUUAAUUCGAAGCAACGCGAAGAACCUUACCAAAUCUUGACAUCCUUUGAAAACUCUAGAGAUAGAGCCUUCCCCUUCGGGGGACAAAGUGACAGGUGGUGCAUGGUUGUCGUCAGCUCGUGUCGUGAGAUGUUGGGUUAAGUCCCGCAACGAGCGCAACCCUUAAGCUUAGUUGCCAUCAUUAAGUUGGGCACUCUAGGUUGACUGCCGGUGACAAACCGGAGGAAGGUGGGGAUGACGUCAAAUCAUCAUGCCCCUUAUGAUUUGGGCUACACACGUGCUACAAUGGACAAUACAAAGGGCAGCUAAACCGCGAGGUCAUGCAAAUCCCAUAAAGUUGUUCUCAGUUCGGAUUGUAGUCUGCAACUCGACUACAUGAAGCUGGAAUCGCUAGUAAUCGUAGAUCAGCAUGCUACGGUGAAUACGUUCCCGGGUCUUGUACACACCGCCCGUCACACCACGAGAGUUUGUAACACCCGAAGCCGGUGGAGUAACCAUUUAUGGAGCUAGCCG
rnacentral:rRNA from 1 species